CACUCUGCGUGUUACUGACAGGGAGAGACACUCUGCGCGUUACUGACAGGGAGAGACACUCUGCGCGUUACUGACAGGGAGAGACACUCUGCGUGUUACUGACAGGGAGAGACACUCUGCGUGUUACUGACAGGGAGAGACACUCUGCGUGUUACUGACAGGGAGAGACACUCUGUGCGUUACUGACAGGGAGAGACACUCUGUGUGUUACUGACAGGGAGAGACACUCUGCGUGUUACUGACAGGGAGAGACACUCUGCGCGUUACUGACAGGGAGAGACACUCUGCGCGUUACUGACAGGGAGAGACACUCUGCGCGUUACUGACAGGGAGA